rnacentral:rRNA from 1 species
UACGGGGGGAGCAAGCGUUGCUCGGAAUCACUGGGCGUAAAGGGCGCGUAGGCGGCCGGCCAAGUCGGGGGUGAAAGCCUGUGGCUCAACCACAGAAUGGCCCUCGAUACUGGACGGCUCGAGACCGGAAGAGGUUGAUGGAAUUGCGAGUGUAGAGGUGAAAUUCGUAGAUAUUCGCAAGAACACCGGUGGCGAAGGCGGCCAACUGGUCCGGAUCUGACGCUGAGGCGCGACAGCGUGGGGAGCAAACAGG